rnacentral:rRNA from 1 species
AGCAGCCGCGGUAAUUCCAGCUCCAAUAGCGUAUAUUAAAGUUGUUGCAGUUAAAAAGCUCGUAGUUGAAUUUCGGGAUCAAAUUGUCGGUCGUGCCUCGGUACGCACUGGUAUUAUUGGUUCCUACCUUCUGAAGAACCGCGAUGUCAUUAAUUUGGUGUCGUGGGGAAUCAGGACUGUUACUUUGAAAAAAUUAGAGUGUUUAAAGCAGGCUUACGCUUGAAUACAUUAGCAUGGAAUAAUGAAAUAGGACGUUUGAUUCUAUUUUGUUGGUUUCUAGGAUUGACGUAAUGAUUAAUAGGGAUAGUUGGGGGCAUUAGUAUUCAAUUGUCAGAGGUGAAAUUCUUGGAUUUAUUGAAGACUAACUACUGCGAAAGCAUUUGCCAAGGAUGUUUUCAUUAAUCAAGAACGAAAGUUAGGGAUCGAAGACGAUCAGGUACCGUCGUAGUCUUAACCAUAAACUNUGCCGACUAGGGAUCGGAUGAUGUUAAUUUUUAAUGUACUCAUUCGACGCCUUACGGGAAACCAAGGUGUUU